UACGUAGGGCGCAAGCGUUGUCCGGAAUCAUUGGGCGUAAAGAGCUCGUAGGCGGCUUGUCACGUCUGCUGUGAAAUCCCGGGGCUCAACCCCGGGCGUGCAGUGGAUACGGGCAGGCUAGAGGCAGGCAGGGGAGAACGGAAUUCCCGGUGUAGCGGUGAAAUGCGCAGAUAUCGGGAGGAACACCGGUGGCGAAGGCGGUUCUCUGGGCCUGUACUGACGCUGAGGAGCGAAAGCGUGGGGAGCGAACAGG
rnacentral:rRNA from 1 species